rnacentral:rRNA from 1 species
GACGAACGCUGGCGGCGUGCUUAACACAUGCAAGUCGAACGAUGAAGCAAAGAAUCGAAGCUUCGGCAGAAAUUCAUUUCGGAUUAGUGGCAGACGGGUGAGUAACGCGUGAGCAACCUACCUCUUACAAAGGGAUAGCCUCGGGAAACCGGGAUUAAUACCAUAUAACAUUGCGACGAAGCAUUUCGAUGCAAUCAAGGCUACGGCGGUAAGAGAUGGGCUCGCGUCCCAUUAACCGGAUGGUGAGGUAACGGCUCACCAUAGUGACGAUGGGUAACCGGCCUGAGAGGGUGAACGGUCACACUGGAACUGAGACACGGUCCAGACUCCUACGGGAGGCAGCAGUGGGGAAUAUUGCACAAUGGAGGGAACUCUGAUGCAGCGACGCCGCGUGAGUGAUGUAGGAAUUCGUUUCGUAAAACUCUGUUCUAUGGGAAGAAAAGGACUGUACCAUAGGAGAAAGCUCCGGCUAAAUACGUG